CCCUUAGAUGCCCGGGGCCGCACGCGCGCUACACUGAAGGAAUCAGCGUGGCUUUCUCCCUGACCCGAAAGGGUUGGGAAACCCGUUGAAUCUCCUUCGUGAUAGGGAUUGGGGCUUGAAAUUGUUCCCCAUGAACGAGGAAUUCCCAGUAAGCGCGAGUCAUAAGCUCGCGUUGAUUACGUCCCUGCCCUUUGUACACACCGCCCGUCGCUACUACCGAUUGAACGGUUUAGUGAGGGCCUCGGAUUGGUCUCGGCCCGCUCUUUACCGGGCGGCGCCGUUGGUCGAGAAGACGCUCGAACUUGAUCGUUUAGAGGAAGUAAAAGUCGUAACA
rnacentral:rRNA from 1 species